UUUUCAUUGAACCCUUCUAAUCUCAGAAACAUGGAAUCUCGGAUGGUGAGCAAGGAUGUGCCAGAUAUUGAGAGUUUACUGGCACUGAAUCCCAAAAUAAUCAAAUAUGCACAUCUUGUGUCCAGCACGGAGACCAAACAAAACAAGAAGCACUGGAAACGUAAUAGCCCCAAAGGAUGCUCGGAUUGUCCGCCAAGAACCAACAAUUUCGAGGACAUCAAGCACACCACUCUGAGUGAGCGAGGGGCCCUGAGGGAGGCAGCCAGGUGUUUAAAAUGUGCAGAUGCCCCUUGUCAGAAAAGCUGUCCCACUCAGCUAGACAUCAAGUCCUUUAUCACCAGUAUAGCAAACAAGAACUACUAUGGUGCAGCUAAAGCUAUACUUUCUGACAACCCCCUCGGCUUGACAUGUGGAAUGGUCUGUCCGACCUCCGACCUCUGUGUGGGAGGAUGCAACUUGUAUGCUUCAGAGGAAGGUCCCAUUAACAUUGGGGGGUUGCAGCAGUUUGCAACUGAGAUUUUCAAAGCGAUGAAGAUUCCCCAAAUCAGGGACCCGUCCAUGCCCCCUUUGGAUAACCUCCCCGAUAGUUACAAGGCUAAGGUGGCCCUGCUGGGCUGUGGACCGGCAAGCAUCAGCUGUGCCACAUUUCUGGCCAGGAUGGGCUACACCAACCUCACCAUCUUUGAAAAGCAUGACUACAUUGGAGGACUGAGCUCCUCUGAGAUACCCCAGUACCGCUUACCUUACAGUGUUGUGGAUUUUGAGGUGGAGCUUGCCAAAGAUAUAGGGGUCAAAGUAAGGUUUAUCAGACAUGCCAAAGUAAACUCCCUGUGGCUGUCCUUUGGCUGUUUGUUUGGCUGUCCAUAUAUCUGUCUGUUUGUUGUCUGAUGUCCAUGUCUGUUUGUUUUUUUGCCUCAUGUCCAUAUGUCUGUUUGUUGUCUCUCGUCCAUAUGUCUGUUUGUUUGUUGUCUCAUCUGCAUAUGUCUGUUGUCUCUCGUCCAUAUGUCUGUUUGUUUGUUGUCUCAUGUUAAUUUGUCUAUCUGUUUGUUGUCUCUUGUCCAUAUGUUUGUCUGUUUGUUGUCUCUUGUCUAUUUUUGUGUAAUUUCUAUGUAGUAAGAUAUCUGUUUAUUAAACUGAAUGGUUUUUAAAAAACAAAGU
rnacentral:misc_RNA from 1 species